rnacentral:lncRNA from 1 species
CUAAAAAACAUUGAAUUGUACACUUUAGAUGGGUGAAUUACAAUGGUGUAUGAAAUACAUAUCAACAAAACUGUCUAAAAAAAUGUUCUGGGAAAUUUUUUAAAAAUAUAUUUUUGAUAACUCAAGUUGUUUUCGUAUCAUUUCUUUCAUUACUCUAAAAAUCAGCUGCCGAGGAAAAUCAAAUUAAUCAUAGCUUUUUGUAGUCUAUCAUUUGGAACUGGGAAAGGUCUCUGGGCACCCACAGCACAGUUGCCAGUGUUACAAGCUGCCACUUCGAGCCUGUAACACUCACUUCAUCCUCUCACUAAUUCCUAUAGAAAUUGUGUGCCUGCAGUGUCCAGGUCCUGAGGAGAUAGUGCUGAAUGAGAGACAAGGUCCCUGGAGACUCGGAGCUUUAAUUUCAGUAAGGCAGGUGGGGAGAGGUAAAGAGUAUGUCAAACAGUCUCUGGGAACCUGAGGUGUAGAGAGCAGCUCCGGAAAUAUUUUACCUGAAAACAUUCAGCAAGCCCAUGAGUUGAAUUUUGGUCAUCCAUUGUCGUCUUCUGCUAUGAACUGAAUGUUUGUGUCUCCCCUAAAUCCAUAUUGAAACCCUAAUCCUCAGUGGGGUGCUCAGAGAUGGGGUCUUUGGAAGAGCAGUUUCACAGAUCACAUGACCUAGUUUUAUGUCCCCCCAGAAGUCUAUAACUCCAUCUUGUUGAUCACUUAGCUUGGAUCUUGAGAUAUUUACAUUUAUUUUUCUUUUAAGUCUAAAGUCCCUUAAAUUUGAAGAAAGCCAUACAUACACACUCAGUUCAGUUCAGUUCAGUUUACUCACUCAGUCCUGUCCAACUCUUUGCGACCCCAUGAAUCACAGCACACCAGGC